rnacentral:rRNA from 1 species
UACAGAGGGUGCGAGCGUUGUUCGGAAUUAUUGGGCGUAAAGGGCGCGUAGGCGGCUGUACAAGUCAAAGGUGAAAUCCCUCGGCUCAACUGAGGAACUGCCUUUGAAACUGUACGGCUUGAGGCCGGGAGGGGGUAGCGGAAUUCCCAGUGUAGCGGUGAAAUGCGUAGAUACUGGGAGGAACACCAGUGGCGAAGGCGGCUACCUGGACCGGUUCUGACGCUGAUGCGCGAAAGCGUGGGUAGCAAACAGG